rnacentral:lncRNA from 1 species
UUUCCACAUAGACAAUGUAGAAUAUUAUUUAAAACAGAGUCUACAGCAUGAAGAAAAUAGAAGCAACAGAAAACAACAAGCUAAUAUAUAAACUAUUAAGGCAAAAUGGACAAAGAGUUUUAAGAGGUUUAGAAGCCUGGUCAUCAAUACCCACAACAGUUAUGGAGGCGAGGGAAACAGGCCCUUGAAAAGAAGGUAAUGUGGAGUGGGUAGCCUCCGUAUUGAUAAAGAAGGGGACGGACUUCCCUCCACUGUGAGAGUUACUUGAAGCUCGGCGUCCGUGAUGGUCUAGGGGGCUUCUGAGGUGAUCGGGCAGCAUCAGUCUUCAGCCGCUAAGCCGAGAAGGAGUCAGUCAGAGAACCUUGGGCCAGAGUUCCAGGGGCGCUGGGAGUGGCUGCCAGGUGAGUUGAACAGUCCGAUUUCCAGUGGGGUCCUGCACAGAUGGGACAUGGCUUAGGAGGAAUCCUGGGCUGCGGGCAUUCCUUGGCCUGGUGGUCAGAUUUCUGGCACUUGUAGCAAGCUCCUGGAGGAGGUUCUGGAGGAACGCCUGGCCGCUGCGGUUCAGGCGU